CGUUAGGCCAAUAUUGAUAGAAUGGAUGGCUCACACUGUUCCCAACCGUAGUUUUUGGAUCCUCUAAACCAUGGCUACAAUGAUGGCAACUAUGCAUUGUCAAGAACCCAGCAAGAUUUAAGGUCAUCCCAAUUAUAAGAAGAUAUGUGAACUACUUGGCUGCUGUCAAAUGCUACAAUGUUACUCGAUGAAGAAAAAAUAUAAAAGUUGGGAUAGUCUGCUACUGCAGAUCCUCUCAACUUGAAUACGGUCACCAAAAUGACACUCCAUGGGGUGUCUGGGGCUUAACCCCUGGUAAUUCACAAAAAUAAAAAUAUAAUAUCCGCAUUCAAGACAAAGCAAACUAUCUUUGAUGUAUAUCAGCCUUACUUCAAACUACGUUCACAUAGCACAGUGAACAUUUAGUAUUGAAACUAUCUCCCUUUACCUUGCAAACUGGACUCAAUUAACCCUUAGGAUGCCCCAUAGCUUGGCCAAUUCACAAUAAAGCCUUUAUUGUAGGAAUCCUAAUUGAGUUAUUUUACAGCCAGAGAAAAGCAACUUUGCUUUAGCAAUUACCCUGACUCUUAUACUUUUGGUUCUAAGUCAGAUCAACAUUGUGUUAAGCUUUCCACAUUAUCC